GCGAACGGGUGAGUAACACGUGAGUAACCUGCCCUUGACUCUGGGAUAAGCCUGGGAAACCGGGUCUAAUACUGGAUAUGACUGCCGGCCGCAUGGUCUGGUGGUGGAAAGCUUUAUUGCGGUUUUGGAUGGACUCGCGGCCUAUCAGCUUGUUGGCGGGGUAAUGGCCCACCAAGGCGACGACGGGUAGCCGGCCUGAGAGGGUGACCGGCCACACUGGGACUGAGACACGGCCCAGACUCCUACGGGAGGCAGCAGUGGGGAAUAUUGCACAAUGGGCGCAAGCCUGAUGCAGCGACGCCGCGUGAGGGAUGAAGGCCUUCGGGUUGUAAACCUCUUUCAGUAGGGAAGAAGCGAAAGUGACGGUACCUGCAGAAGAAGCGCCGGCUAACUACGUGCCAGCAGCCGCGGUAAUACGUAGGGCGCAAGCGUUAUCCGGAAUUAUUGGGCGUAAAGAGCUCGUAGGCGGUUUGUCGCGUCUGCCGUGAAAGUCCGGGGCUUAACUCCGGAUCUGCGGUGGGUACGGGCAGACUAGAGU
rnacentral:rRNA from 1 species